rnacentral:rRNA from 1 species
UGGGGAAUAUUGCACAAUGGGGGAAACCCUGAUGCAGCCAUGCCGCGUGUGUGAAGAAGGCCUUCGGGUUGUAAAGCACUUUCAGCGAGGAGGAAAGGUCAGUAGCUAAUAUCUGCUGACUGUGACGUUACUCGCAGAAGAAGCACCGGCUAACUCCGUGCCAGCAGCCGCGGUAAUACGGAGGGUGCAAGCGUUAAUCGGAAUUACUGGGCGUAAAGCGCACGCAGGCGGUUGGAUAAGUUAGAUGUGAAAGCCCCGGGCUCAACCUGGGAAUUGCAUUUAAAACUGUCCAGCUAGAGUCUUGUAGAGGGGGGUAGAAUUCCAGGUGUAGCGGUGAAAUGCGUAGAGAUCUGGAGGAAUACCGGUGGCGAAGGCGGCCCCCUGGACAAAGACUGACGCUCAGGUGCGAAAGCGUGGGGAGCAAACAG